rnacentral:pre_miRNA from 1 species
AGUGGGGGGGGGGGUCUCUCAGCCCAAAUUGUGAGAGGUUGCAAGCCAGGCCAAGGGACCCCACCAGUGCACA